CAGCCGCAAAUCUACCCAUAUUAUCAACAAAAGAGGGGUUAUAAUAAACUAUAUCAAAAUCAACAAAAAUCAGAUUAUGGGAACCAAAUUCAUCGGUACUUGAGAGAACUGCAAGAUGAUCGUUAUGACAAUGCUGAUAACGACGAUCAGUAAAUCACGAGAUGACUACUUAACUAUCUAAGAUGAACGAAAUGGGCUUUUAAACAGGAUAAGGGCUGUUUUUGAAUUACUCAAUUGUAUUAUACGCAAUAAAGAGCUUCGUUGCAGCAAAAA
rnacentral:lncRNA from 1 species